AAUUAUGCGUAUAUUGGGGCAGCGUUAACUAAAUCUAUUCGCUUAGUAGCUUUUUUUUUAAAUAUGGCAAUUGACUUUUAACAACGCAGAUGAUGUUGCCAGUACCGUGUUUUUAAAAAUCCUCGAUUUUUAUAUGGAUAUGUACGUAUUCUGUUAAAAGAAUUUCAUCCGAACAGACAAGCGUGUACCCCAUGCCUCCAUCUCUCCCAUAGACAAUUGAUUGCUCAAAAGCAUAUUAUGUGUUCCGUUUGACGUCCGAAGUCCAUUAUGAGAGUACAUCGUAUGAUUUCCACUGCAGGUCGCUAAAUUUGACUACUUCCGUUUCCUAAGUCCCAUCUACAGCGCCCUCUAUAACGUCUGGAACCGAACCAACAAGCAAAGACAAGCCGCCAUAUUUGUCAUUGUUGCGUCGUUUUUUCCCACGUGCAGUCGUUAAUAUUUUAAGAAGUUAGUAAUUUAAAAUGUUAUAAGCAACUUUCGAGAUUUGAAGUAGAAAGUUUGUUUCAAACAAGUGUUAUGAUUAUCUUCCGUUUCGUGAAACCUCCAAGGCUCUACAAUGAGUGACGAGGUUAUCGCGCCUUUCAAAGUAAAAUUUAAGUGAGGAUAGUUCUUCGAUUUCUUCGGAUAUUUCUUCGGGUUCGUCGGAAAAUAAAGACUAGGAACCAGCAAGAAAACUUCGAAAAAGUGACUGGUCGCGAGAUCUGAAUAAAAGGUUUGACUUACUGUCGCAAUAAUGGACGUUAUAGAGGGCGCUGUAGAUGGGACUUAGGAAACGGAAGUAGUCAAAUUUAGCGACCUGCAGUGGAAAUCAUACGAUGUACUCUCAUAAUGGACUUCGGACGUCUUAGGAAACAUAAUACAAAUUUUAU